ACUUUAGCCCGGCCAGUACCUAAUAAAUUGGAUACGAUACAGAGAAGAUUAGCAUGGCCCCUGCGAAAGGAUGACACAUGGUCAUUGAGCGUUUCCAUAUUUUG